rnacentral:lncRNA from 1 species
UCAAAGGCACGAAGGAGUUUCUUCUUGGUGUUAACAAAAUUCAAAAAGAAGAUGAGAUUCAUCCCGUAUCAUUUUAUAGUAAGAAAAUUCAUUCAGAAAAUGAGAUUCCUCCAUUAUCCUUCUAUAGUAAGAAAAUUAAUUCAGAAGAUGAGAUUCCUCCCUUGUCUUUCUAUAGUAAAAAAAUCCAUUCAGAAGAUGAGAUUCCUCCAUUAUCCUUCUAUAGUAAGAAAAUUCAUUCAGAAGAUGAGAUUCCUCCAUUAUCCUUCUAUAGUAAGAAAAUUCAUUCAGAAGAUGAGAUUCCU